rnacentral:rRNA from 1 species
UGGCGAACGGGUGAGUAACACGUGAGCAACCUGCCCCUGACUCUGGGAUAAGCGCUGGAAACGGCGUCUAAUACUGGAUAUGUGACGUGACCGCAUGGUCUGCGUCUGGAAAGAAUUUCGGUUGGGGAUGGGCUCGCGGCCUAUCAGCUUGUUGGUGAGGUAAUGGCUCACCAAGGCGUCGACGGGUAGCCGGCCUGAGAGGGUGACCGGCCACACUGGGACUGAGACACGGCCCAGACUCCUACGGGAGGCAGCAGUGGGGAAUAUUGCACAAUGGGCGCAAGCCUGAUGCAGCAACGCCGCGUGAGGGACGACGGCCUUCGGGUUGUAAACCUCUUUUAGCAGGGAAGAAGCGAAAGUGACGGUACCUGCAGAAAAAGCGCCGGCUAACUACGUGCCAGCAGCCGCGGUAAUACGUAGGGCGCAAGCGUUAUCCGGAAUUAUUGGGCGUAAAGAGCUCGUAGGCGGUUUGUCGCGUCU